GAUGAACGCUGGCGGCGUGCCUAAUACAUGCAAGUCGAGCGAACAGACGAGGAGCUUGCUCCUCUGACGUUAGCGGCGGACGGGUGAGUAACACGUGGAUAACCUACCUAUAAUACUGGGAUAACUUCGGGAAACCGGAGCUAAUACCGGAUAAUAUAUUGAACCGCAUGGUUCAAUAGUUAAAGACGGUUUUGCUGUCACUUAUAGAUGGAUCCGCGCCGCAUUAGCUAGUUGGUAAGGUAACGGCUUACCAAGGCAACGAUGCGUAGCCGACCUGAGAGGGUGAUCGGCCACACUGGAACUGAGACACGGUCCAGACUCCUACGGGAGGCAGCAGUAGGGAAUCUUCCGCAAUGGGCGAAAGCUUGACGGAGCAACGCCGCGUGAGUGAUGAAGGUCUUCGGAUCGUAAAACUCUGUUAUUAGGGAAGAACAAAUGUGUAAGUAACUAUGCACGUCUUGACGGUAACUAAUCAGAAAGCAACGGCUAACUACGUG
rnacentral:rRNA from 1 species